UUGAUCCCCCCCUUGUAAGGGCAUGUGUACAUAAUUGAUGACCCCCCCUACCUCCCCAGAACAAAAUGGGUGAACCCCUCCCCUUAAAAUCAUUA